GAUGUUCUUCAUCAACAGUGGAGAAGAAAACGGAACAGAAAUUGACGUGGAAAAGAAUGUGAAUAUAAUAUUUAUAAUAUUUCGCUCUAAUUCCACUGAUGAAUACAAUAUGACUUACAUAAAUGCUAAUCAAUCGACUACUACCGAAAGAAUAUUACUCAAUGACACAUUUUCAAUCGAUAAAAUUUUGGAUCUCCCCUUUGAUCUCUAAACCAUUGGAGAUGUUAAUGGAUUAAUAACUGUACCUUUAUGAUAUAUCUAAAUAAAUAUGAAUGAAUUGCA
rnacentral:lncRNA from 1 species